CGGAACUUACCAGCUGGAGUCCCCAGACGGGACGCCCAUUCCGCGGAGCUGGAGCUCUGAAAACCUCCGCGUGUACCAUCAGUAGAACCCUAAGGGGUUCCCCAUUAUUCAAUUAUUGAACCUCGUUUUAUGAAUUCCAUUUUAUAAUAAACUUACGGUCCGUAUACUCAUUUUGAGCUCACCAAUUUUUUCUGAUUAUCUCAUGAUUGUCAGGUUUAUUUCUCCUACCCUGACCACGGUCAGGAUGCCCUGCCACAACGGGAUGCCCCGAUUCGUCGGUAUAGCCCGAGACAUCGGCAAUGAGUUAGCGGUCCUCUCUGACCGGACGAGCUCGGCUCGUGCUCCAUCGGCUAUGAGUUAGCGGUCCUCUCUGACCGGACGAGCUCGGCUCGUGCUCCAUCGGCU
rnacentral:lncRNA from 1 species